rnacentral:rRNA from 1 species
UAAUGUAUGGGGAUCUGCCCGAUAGAGGGGGAUAACUACUGGAAACGGUGGCUAAUACCGCAUAAUGUCUACGGACCAAAGCAGGGGCUCUUCGGACCUUGCACUAUCGGAUGAACCCAUAUGGGAUUAGCUAGUAGGUGGGGUAAAGGCUCACCUAGGCGACGAUCUCUAGCUGGUCUGAGAGGAUGAUCAGCCACACUGGGGCUGAGACACGGCCCAG